rnacentral:lncRNA from 1 species
UCUCAAGUUUUGGAACCCCUCAAAAUGUUUAUAUAAAACAACAAACAAGAACAAGAAAUAUGAUAAUGUAAAUAAGGUUUAGCUCUUUAAUAAGCAUAAUGAAACUUUAAAUACAUUUUAGUCAAAAUUGGAGAAGCUUUUAAGAAUAUUUUUAAAUGGAAUGGAGAGUUGAAUGCACUUUGAGAAGAUGGUUGAGCUUGAAUUGAAUAC